rnacentral:tRNA from 1 species
GGAGGGGCUGUGGCUGAGUGGUAGAUCAUCUGCUUGGCAUGCCAGAGGUUCCAGGUUCAAUCCCCAGUUCCUCCA